UUACUUACCUGGCGUGGGGGUUACCGUGAUCAAGAAGGCGGUUCCCCCAGGGCCAGGCCUUGUCAUUGCAAUGCGAAUUGGUUGACCCCUGCGAAUGCCCCAAAUGUGGGCAUCUCGUGCGCACAAUAAUUGACCUCAACAUGGUAUAUUAUAGUGUGUAAUCUUA